rnacentral:tRNA from 1 species
CACUGAGAAGCUUAACACAGCACUAGCCUUUUAAGCUAGAGAGGGGGAUCACACCCCUUCAGUGA